UGAGGGAGUGUUUUUAGCAUCUAGGAAAGAGAGCAGUGCAGGGCAGUCGGGAGCAGAUGACUUACAAGCUUCUCAUGCUGUGCUCUCUGUAAAAACACCUGUCUCGAAUUGCUGGGGGUUACUGUGGUCUUGGGCUCCCCAUCCUCCUCCUCCUCCUCCUCUGCAGCCCAUAACUUCCCUGUCUCACUAGUCCCAUCCUUGGCUCCUGGGGCAGCUCUCAGCUGCAUGAGGCCAGUAAUGGUGUGCGAACCAGCAUCUUGUGCAGGUGGGUCAGGUGCAUUCAGAGGAGCAAUGGAUGGGGCUGGUGUGCAGGAGAGACAUGGGGGACCCUGGCCACCACUGUCCCCUUGCUCUUACAGCUCUUCAUCCUCUCCCUGCAUGCAAUAACCCUGCAACAUGGGGCAUUUCAGAUGCAUUUAUGCUGGGGUACCCUACCAAGUCUGGUGGCAUUCUGAGCAUCACCUUGUUUUGCCGCCACGGUGAUGGCUCCUGUCUCAGUACUGUGCCAGCAAACCUCACUUGAUCCCCAAAACCCUGGAGGUGUGAAGGAAAUCCCUCUGGUUGUCCGAACAGAGCAGCCAUCUCUGCUUAGUUCCUCAGUGCGCUUUUGUUAGCCCACCCCAUUGCGUUUAAUUAUAGAUAUUACAUUCUAUUCUCCUGCAAAGAAUGACUCGCGGGGUGCUCCCGGAGUUCAUUUCAAACAUGAAAUUACUGGUGCAGCUUUCAUAUGGGAAGAAUCGCUGCUGUGACCUGCGGGUAAUUAACGAGACAGUGCAUGGCCAGCAGUCCCAGAGUAAUUAGCGGCAGCAAUAGGAGUGUUCUCCGUGGAGCCCCGCUUGCCGAGGCAUGAGUUCCUCUGCCACAGCGGCAGCCCUGUCGCAGUGCUGAGGCUGAACGUGGCCGCAGGGGCAUUGUGGUGUUGAGAAAACAGGUCCACGGGACUUGAGAUGGCUGCAUGAGAACUGCCAGGGUAAAAGCUCGAUGUAGGAGCCCCAGGGAGCCACAGACCUGUUGUUCUGCAGCCCAUUGCAUGAAAAUACAGAAGGAAGUUGGAAAAACAUGAAUGAAAUGGGAACUGUUGGGAAAUCGCACAUUUACUGGGAUCUGCCUAGCAUGGGCAUGGCUGAAACAUUCCCUUCCAACACUGACUGUUCUGCCCUGUGAAUCAAAUAUUCGGUAUAAUAUUUAAAUAUAAUUAAUUCAUGUAAUUCCAGCUUUUAUACUAUAGUAAAAUAUUCAUUUUCAGAUAGUAUAGAGGUUGAGACUGCAUUCAUCAAACAUUCAGAAAAAAUUAUAAAGCCUGGAAUAAAAUGUUUCCUCUCCUGUACAACACUGGAUGUUGGAGAGGUGAGACAAAGGAGUCAAAGUGAUUUGCUGCAGUUUGCUCCUAGUGGCUUUAGCCCUUCUGCCAGACGGUGAAGGACCAGCCCAGCAGAGCUCCUUGUGCAGUGUUGUGGGAGAGUGAGGCCCCUCAGGAGGCACCUGGGUGUUCCCAGUGCUGGGAGAGGACCUUGGCAGCUCUGGGAACAAGCUGGGGAAAGAGAGCUCUUUUUUUUUCUGUAGCCUGACCAUGUCACGUGCAAACGUAGCCGGAACCAAUCUAGCUUUUAUCCAUGGACAAAUUAAAACAAGCUCUGAAUAACACACCUUGCAAACCAGCCUAGAGGAGACAUUCCAUACUUCCCUAUCCCCCAAGACUAGAAGAAAACACGGGUUGGGUUUUAGGGUCAUUCUAGAGGAAGCCGCGGUGGGGAAGUUGCUCCAGUAGCAGAAGCCUCUCCUGGUGGCCCUCUCUUCCCCAGGUGCCUGGCUCCAUCUCUGCCCAAAGGGGAAGGUCUUGGUUUCCUUCCCAGUCAGGAGAAUUUGAGCCCAAGACUCUCCCAUCCCAGAGGAUCACUGUAGUCUGGGGAAACAGUAUACCUAGGAAAAAUUCCUCCCAUGUAACAGUUCAGGUAGAUAUCGGUGAGGGAGGACAGGAUGGACAGAUCAUCCUGAAUCUCUGCUGCCUUAGCUGGGACAUGUCACUGUUUCUCUUCCCUGCCUCCGGCCAGGAGAUUUACUGGGGGUGUUUGGCCUAUUGAUUCCCAUAGUCAGUGCAGGCUCACAGAGGCUUGAAAAGCAAGGGCCUAAUUUUACCCACGAACCCACCCUGGCGCCUGCCCCAGUGGCUGGUCCCACCUCAGGCGCAGCGGUACAGGCGUGAUUUAAGUGAGAUGGGCGCUGGGGCCACCAGCUGACCCCGAAAGAACCAUGCUGUGAGCUCCUGCUGGGAGAUUUACAUAGAGGCGCAGUCCUCUGGUUUGGCUUACAGCUCCCGAAACACUUAGUGGAGGGAGAUGGACGGGGAAGAGUAACGAUUUUGGCCCAAAGGGCAAGGCAAGCUAUCUCUGGACUGAACCUGGGGCAAUUGAUGCGUCCACGAUAGGCUUAAUGGAUUGUUUGAGAUUUGGGGCUGUGAAGUAUGGUCAAAAGCAAGGUGUUCGACUAUGGUUGUAAUUGUUAACAGGCUCCUUUUGAAGCCCUGUGCAAAGAAAUGGAUAGACUUCAGCCAUCAAUAAUAUCGCUGGAGGAGAAAAUUGAAGGGAUAUCUGCCCAAUUAAAUAACCUACAGGGCUGGAAUCGAGAAUCAAUGUGGCAUGAACGAUGAGGUAUGGACUACCCACACUGAACAUUAAAUCCAUUGCAGCCUCUGCUUCAACAAGGAGAGAGGGAUGGGGAGGGAUGCUGCAGCUGUGACUUCCCAGGCUGUGCACACCACCCUUGGCAGGGCUGCUGCAAGAGGCAGGAGGUGACCGUGGAAUGGCUCAGCAUCACUGUCCCGUGGGCUGGGAUACACCGAAGGUAUGAGAUCUUCGCUGCUCAAGUGGGAGCAUGGGCAGAGGCAGGGCUGGCAGUGCAGGCAGACACGCCUGGCGAUGGAUCUGCAUCCCUGGGGAGCUCCCGUGACUUGCUUGUGGAUGGUAAGUGGAGACUGCUGGGAGACUGAUAUAUUCUGGUCUGGGUAUCUUCCUCUUUUCAGUUUAGGUUGGGUUGUUGGAGGCCUUGGGUGACCUGGGGAAGUGGAAGGGAGCUUGCUGAAGCAGGUUUGAGUGCAUGAAGUGGACUUGUUCAGAAUGAGUGGGCUGGCAAGAAGGAUGGGUCAGGGCAUCUACUGAGGACAAGGGACUGGAUGAAAAAUAUCAGAUGUCCUGUUUGCAGUGAAAAGGUAGAGAAUACAAAGAUGAUCUGGGGAAAGAACUGUGGAUCUUCCCUCAGCCCUGGGUAUCAAGUCAUUUUGCAGGACAUACCCCUCGCUGGCAACACUGGGACAACCCUACCCAAGCAUCACCAGAGCCAACACAGUAGGGCGGGCCUUCUGUCUGCAUGGAAGUACAAUCCUGUUGUCUGGGCCCUUUCCAACAGGGAUUAAGGGGAAGGAGGGAAACCUUGGCACAACACCGCAUCCCAGCAUUGAGGAUGGCUCAGUCAAGAAAACUGCCGGUGUUUAGGAAGACCCAGGAUCCCUUGAGGUCCCAGAUUUUCUUCGGUUCUGCUCCUCCAAAACCCCUUUCACCUCUUUUACUGUCUGCUGGAAGUAAUUUGAGGAGCAUCAGCAAAUCCACGGUGAACGUGUAUUGCUGCUGUCCUCUCUAAGACCUGCAUCACAUCCCAUUGAUGCUCCUCCUCCUCUCUGGGAGCAGAGCGGUUCUCCCAAGUAGCUGGGGAGUUGCUGGAGGGAUCCCGGCAUGCGACUCUUCCCGUGUACACCAGCUAAAGGAAUAAUUUGCAUUUACCCAGAGCCCAGGCUGCCUGCCCAGCCCGGCCGGCAUCCAAGCAAUCAAUUCCCAUUCAGCGCAGUGGCUUCCCUUCCUGCUCUCGCAAACAGUGACAAAUGGAGCACUGCAUCGACUUGGAUGGAGCAGGAAGCAUCGGCAGGAGGAAUAAUUGCCCAUUUGCCAGAUGAGAUGGGAUGUGCAGUUUUCCUGUGCCACCUUCCCAGGAGCUCGGCAACAGACAGCAGUUGAGCGCGGAAGCAGAGCGGAUUCUGGUGGAGAUACAUCCACAAGCAAUGGGAUCCCCGAUGCCAGCACAUCUGCAGUGUGGCUGGAGAAAGGCUCACCAACCAGCAGUAAGAACAACGUAGCAUUGUUGGGAUCCGAAUAGUGGCUUUGCUAUCUUCUCAGCUUCCAGGGCAGUGGUGGGAUGAGCUUCCACUAAGCUCUCCAGAUGUUUGGAGGGGACCAGGUGAGCUUGAGGUCUUCUCCAUGGUCUCUGGAGGGAAGAACCACGUUGGGAGGAGGAUUUUGCACCAUCCAGCCUGUCUCCUCCGUGCGAACAUGUACUUAGAGGAUGGCUCUCCUGGAGUUAAAUUUUAACCCCGGCUCACUUUGACCAAAGCACAGAAUUGCUCCUUACCAUGGAUUAGGAGUUGGGAGGAUGAGCUCUCCAAACUAGGGUACGCUGGCACAGAAAAUGUCCCUGGGCUGGUCCCAGCCCCUUCCUCAAAUGCUAGAAGAGAGUUAAACUGCUUCAAGCAAAUGUUAUUCCUACCAGGAGGUGGAAUGAUGCUUGCAUGUCGCUACAGCUUUCCUCUUUUCUUCCUUUAAUUAAAAAGAAAAUGUCUCCCUCCAAAGUCAUUAAUUACUAAUGACACAAUUAGAACCAGCAAAGAGGGAUAGGAAGCACAGGAUGAAAAGACAAAAAAAAAGGGGGAAGGAGGGGCAAACCAAAACCCAAAAGAACCUCUGGCAAUUUGAGACAUUUGAAGCUUGAGAAAAAUUAAGGAAAUAAUUGCUUAAUUUAAACUUUAUUCUCACUCCAUCUGGGGCCACACAGGAUGGGCAGAGUGUGAAAACCACCUUUCCAGUGCUCCUCCCUCCCAUCAGAGGAAGGAGAUAAGUCAGUCUGUCUCCUUUAAUCUGAUUUUUCUGCUUGGAGGCAGACCCCAAGGCAGUGUUUCGCUUUGGAGUGGUUUUCUGCAGUCUGCCAGCUUCCUAUGCAGGAAAACCUGGAUUUGGCACCGUAAUCCCCACAGUCACAUUUUUCCACGUCUGCACUGGCAGCACUUGCAUUUCUCGUGGCCUGACCCCUUCUCCUUUUGCUCCAGCCAUCCAGUCUCCAUGGGUGAGAAACCAGAGCUCUUCCCUCCUGCCCCAUCCCCUCUUCUGUUCUUCCAGCGACCGGAGAUGGAGUUGAGCCGGGAGCUGAGGACAAGCACGAACAACACUUGAUGUCCAGGUUUAAAGGUCCUUGGCUUUGAAAAGCUGGCUUAAAUUGCUUGAAGACUCUCUCUGAAAAACAGAUUAAGGGUGUGGGAAGAGGGAAGCCCAGCAGAGCUGCUGGCUGCCUGCUCAGUGCUUAUUAUUUCUGUCAGCUGAGUGUUUUAACUUGGUAAUCUCAGAUUGAAAUGGGUUUCUAGGAGGGGAGGGAGAGGUGGGGGGUGAGGUGCCUGCUCCCACAGGAGUCCGGAUUAGGCAAAGAGCAAGUUUCAGCUUGUCUUUCAAUACUGAAAAGCAAUCUCUGACCUGGAGGUAGGAGGAGGCCACAGCCCUGGGCUUAACAGAGGAACAGGUGAAGCAGGUCAUCUCAUGAUGGACUUCCAGGCUCCCCACCUCCCUCUCUAUCCUGGCCAGCUGUAGUCUUUGAGAAGCAAAGUAACCCAGAGUUGGGCUUUGUGCCCCCUGGUAGACUUGGGGACCAUGCCGGUCCCUCUCCUCUAGGGUCUCGAGGCAGAACAGGGCUUCUGUGGGUCCUGCAACUUAAUCCCUCAGCAGCGGUGGUUUAGACUGUGUUCCCAGAGGGGAUGCUCUUCUGCUUGCCAAGGGCUCUGGCACAACCAGGUCUGAGUGGUCUCAAAGGUGGUUAUUUACCCUGCUGGAUAUAGCAGGAGGGCUGACCCAACUCCUCCAUGCCCAGCGAGGGACUGUGUCCUGACACCAGGCCAGUUUUGUUUGUCCUUCUUUCAGUGCAGUCCAGUUUUUAGUCAGGAUGUGUUGAAAGAGAUGCCAGAGGGAGGGUUCAGGCGUGUUCCCCUCACCUACGACUCUGACCUCUUAGCAAGAGCCAAGAGGCCUACUCACGUGCGGGGUCUGUGCCUUUUGCACACCAAGACUUCACAGCCUCCAGGCCCAAGAUGCUGCCUGGUGAUGAAGGAAGAAGGUUUAUCUUUGCUCUUCUCAGGGUGAGCUCUCUUGCAGGCCACCAAACCAUGGUGGGCAACCAUGCUUGGUCUCAUUGGAAGGCUGCAAAGCUGUUACCCUAGCUUUGCUCCGGGUUGAGGCAGUCUUAGGGCAAACCCAAGCCCUUUUCUUUGUGCAAAGUGACCCUCAGAGAGUAAACUUUAAAAAUUUGGUCAGCCCUGAUCGUGGAGAUUGCAGUGAAGGACUCUGUGCCCAGCCAAAGGGCAGCUGGACUUCUGCUGGGACAGGCUCUCAAGCCCAAUUCUCACAGACUUUCUUCUUCUAGAUCUGUAAGGGGUGUGCCAAAAAAGCAGGGAAAGGCAAAAAAAAUGGGAAGGAAAAAACAAGUUCUUAUUGACUGCUGGAUUCCUCCAGAGACCAUGGCAAGCAUGGAUGGGGAGGGAAAAAAAAACUACUGAUACAUCGUUUUGUCUUCAAGCAAUUAUGUGAAAAUGAGUUAAUCGCAGGGUCACAGAAGCCAUAACCAUUAAUUAAUCCCCAGCAUGAGGCAAAAUGAUGAAUUCUCUGCAGUAAACAAACGUGAGUAACAGCGUGGCAAGGAAUCAAGCUCCCAGCAGAUUACCACAGCCCACGCCAGCAGCUCCGCCACGGCUCUGCGGGGUGGCCCGUUUGCACCCGCAGACCACAGAGCAGCUGCCUGCAUCCCUGCCAAGCCCCAGCCCUGGAGGGUGAAGGCUUUCCUGCCAAAUUGCUGCCUUUUGCUGGCCAUGAGGGAGGGAACAGGGGAGUUGCCACAAAUACAGAUGUUUGGGCCCUCCUGCAAAUGGAAGAAGGUAAAGGCAUGUCCUUCUGCUUCCUCCUGGCGCUGCGAGCAGGACUGGCAUCUCCAUGUGGAGUAGGAAAGGGGGCAGGUGACGAUGCGGAGUACUGGAGAGUAUCCCUCUCUAUCUGGAUUAGGUUUGGUUAUAAGCUGAUGAAACUCCGCUAGAUCGUCUCAGCAACCUCCAGGUGGAUAAAGCUGGGAAGGUGUCAAGUGCUGCUGGUAGGUCUCCUUUGCCGUCCCGAUGGAGUACACUGCCUGCAGGCUCUGCUCCUGUGCUGUUAUACUGGGAUGGGAAAAAAAAGACAUGCAGGGAGGAGUGUAAGAAUCUGCAUUAUCUAUUUAAUACCUAUUUUCACAUUGUUGUCAUUUUAAUAACUAUCCUUUCUUGUAUUUUGAAUGUUUUUAUAAAGAGCUGGUUCAAUCCCAAAUGCAGAUGGAUCCAGCACGUCUCCUAGUGAAAUGCCUCAAAUAAACGGGCCAGGAGAAAUGAAA